rnacentral:sRNA from 1 species
AGCAGCCGCGGUAAUUCCAGCUCCAAUAGCGUAUAUUAAAGUUGUUGCAGUUAAAAAGCUCGUAGUUGAAUUUCGGGGUCAGUAGGUCGGUCGUGCCACAGGUAUGCACUGGUCUCACUGAUUCCUCCUUCCUGAUGAACCGUAAUGCCAUUAAUUUGGUGUUGCGGGGAGACUGGACUGUUACUUUGAAAAAAUUGAGUGUUUAAAGCAGGCUAACGCUUGAAUACAUUAGCAUGGAAUAACGGAAUAGGACGUUCGAUCUUAUUUUGUUGGUUUCUAAGAUUGACGUAAUGAUUAAUAGGGAUAGUUGGGGGCAUUAGUAUUCAAUUGUCAGAGGUGAAAUUCUUGGAUUUAUUGAAGACUAACUACUGCGAAAGCAUUUGCCAAGGAUGUUUUCAUUAAUCAAGAACGAAAGUUAGGGGAUCGAAGACGAUCAGAUACCGUCGUAGUCUUAACCAUAAACUAUGCCGACUAGGGAUCGGAUGAUGUUAAUUUUUUAAUGACUCAUUCGGCGCCUUAA